GCAGUGAUGAAAUAUUUGGUUUUGAUCAGCAAUGAGCUGAAACUACACAACCAAUUCCUCUAAGAAGUUCUGAGCUC